rnacentral:tRNA from 1 species
GUCUUUAUAUUCAAUUAUGAUAUUAGAUUGCAAAUCUAAAGGUUUUAUUUACUUAUAUUAAGGCU